ACGGGUGAGUAAUGCCUAGGAAAUUGCCCUGAUGUGGGGGAUAACCAUUGGAAACGAUGGCUAAUACCGCAUAAUGCCUACGGGCCAAAGAGGGGGACCUUCGGGCCUCUCGCGUCAGGAUAUGCCUAGGUGGGAUUAGCUAGUUGGUGAGGUAAUGGCUCACCAAGGCGACGAUCCCUAGCUGGUCUGAGAGGAUGAUCAGCCACACUGGAACUGANACACGGUCCAGACUCCUACGGGAGGCAGCAGUGGGGAAUAUUGCACAAUGGGCGCAAGCCUGAUGCAGCCAUGCCGCGUGUGUGAAGAAGGCCUUCGGGUUGUAAAGCACUUUCAGUCGUGAGGAAGGUAGUGUAGUUAAUAGCUGCAUUAUUUGACGUUAGCGACAGAAGAAGCACCGGCUAACUCCGUGCCAGCAGCCGCGGUAAUACGGAGGGUGCGAGCGUUAAUCGNANUUACUGGNCGUANAGCGCAUGCAGGUGGUUUGUUNAAGUCAGAUGUGAAAGCCCGGGGCUCAACCUCGGAAUUGCAUUUGAAACUGGCANACUANAGUACUGUA
rnacentral:rRNA from 1 species